rnacentral:lncRNA from 1 species
AUGCCAGCGCCGGGUGGGCACAGCCCUGCGUCGCCCCCGGCCCGGUACAGCCCGGCACAGCCCGGUACAGCCCGGUACAGCCCGGCACAGCCCGGUACAGCGUGGCACAGCCGGUACAGCCCGGCACAGCCCGGUACAGCCCGGCACGGCGCUGCGCGGAGAGGAGCGGGCGCGCCCCGGUGCGCACGGGCGUCCCCACCACGGCGGGAGCCGCCGGGCUCGGUUUCCAGACGGCUGUUAGCAAAGCUCCCCCGGUGCCUCGGCCUUGGCAGCCCUAUCCCCCCUCCGUUACCCCGGGAAAUUAUGGACGAAACCAGCGGUGACAGUUCGCCUCCAAAUUAACCUUCUGGCAGGUAAAUUUCAUUUGCUCAUGAAAAUCAAAUUCGAUUAAGGAUCUGCUAUCAUUUUACUCCUGCGUCUUCCAAGACUUCUGGACUCAGAAGGACGGAGAAUAAUAUUAGUAACUAAAAUCGCCCUCUAUCCGCUCUAUUAUCAGCGAAGAUCUUUUAGCGGGUUUAGAGGGAUUUAACUGUGCGACAAACACAUAUUUUCAGCAGUCAGUCACGAUUUUUUUCUUAAUGCUCAUUAAUUAGCUCUAAACAAUGGAGGGAGAAGUAAGAGUGGAUUUCCUCUGACUACACAUUUUCUUCUGUAUUCGUGCGAUUUUGAUUGUCCUACAAGAAAUUAAAGCUCCUCUCAGUGGGGCACUCCUGCGGCAGGAACGCGUGUGUUAUCACACAAAGGGUUGCUUUUUAAGAAAACUGUCUAGAUAAUCUGUGCCGACAAACUCGGUUUUUGCAAAACCUGACUUUAACCCGAACGUACUUUUUGGUAGUGUAAGCAAAGAGAAGAUGUGAGGCCUCUUUAGAAAAAUGAAUGGCCAUAUUCCUGUUACGUAGGGAGAUUUACAAAUCGUUUAUAUUUUCCCGUUUAAGGCCAAAAUCCUGCGGUCCUCCCUGUGGCAAGGCUAUCUUUGGCUUCGUGGCUCCAGGCGCACACCGUGGCUUGUAAGGGACAAAUUCUGCCCUUGCUUACACCUGCGAGGUGGGUCACCGCUCUCAGUGCAGCCAAGGGCCAGAUAUGCCACUAAAGCACAUCACUAUAUCUGACAUGGGCACUGCAGUGAAUCUGAAAAUCGGUUUAAAACCGUCUGGCUCUGAAAGGAUUCUGCACCUUUUAAAAUCCUCCUGCGGAUCACAGUUGUUCAUCCUCUUGCUCCCUAAGGAAUUAAUACUCGUUUUAGGGGAAAAGACUUAACAGACAUAUUUCUCUCCAAGAUAUUUUACACGCUAUGUAAAUGCAAAGCGAUUCGGGGGUUUGCAUGAAAUCUGGAAAAUGCUGGCGCUCUAUCAUAAUUCUGUAUUUGCUGUAUCUUAACCUUACUUUACACGAAAAGGGGAAAAAAAAAAAGAAAAAAAAGAAAAUCAUACUAGUCCUUCUGUUGCAUAAAUGGAAGCCUUCAAUUAACAAGUUAAUUUCCCAAAAUUAAGCCUUUGUAGACAAUGGCCACAUCCAAUCAGUGGGUUCAAGUAAACUCUUCCUUAGUUUUGGUAGAUUUAGCUAGCACAUCUCAAAGCUUACUUUGCGAAAAAUAAAAGCUCUUCAAGAACUGGUAGAGAAUGAUGU